rnacentral:rRNA from 1 species
GACGAACGCUGGCGGCGUGCCUAAUACAUGCAAGUCGAACGAACCGCGACUAAGUGCUUGCACUAAGUCAAGGUGAGUGGCGAACGGGUGAGUAACACGUGGGUAACCUACCUCAUAGUGGGGGAUAACAGUCGGAAACGACUGCUAAUACCGCAUAGGACAUAGGAUCACAUGAUCCAGUGAGGAAAGGUGGCGCAAGCUAUCGCUAAGAGAUGGACCCGCGGUGCAUUAGCUAGUUGGUAGGGUAAAGGCCUACCAAGGCGAUGAUGCAUAGCCGACCUGAGAGGGUGAUCGGCCACAUUGGGACUGAGACACGGCCCAAACUCCUACGGGAGGCAGCAGUAGGGAAUCUUCCGCAAUGGACGCAAGUCUGACGGAGCAACGCCGCGUGAGUGAAGAAGGUCUUCGGAUCGUAAAGCUCUGUUGUUAGAGAAGAACAGCGCAUAGAGUAACGGCUAUGCGUGUGACGGUAUCUAACCAGAAAGCCACGGCUAACUACGU